rnacentral:rRNA from 1 species
CAGUCGCCGCGGUAAAACGGAGGGGGCAAGCGUUAUCCGGAAUUAUUGGGCGUAAAGCGUCUGUAGGUGGCUUUUCAAGUCCGCCGUCAAAUCCCAGGGCUCAACCCUGGACAGGCGGUGGAAACUACCAAGCUGGAGCACGGUAGGGGCAGAGGGAAUUUCCGGUUGAGCGGUGAAAUGCGUCGAGAUCGGAAAGAACACCAACGGCGAAAGCACUCUGCUGGGCCGACACUGACACUGAGAGACGAAAGCUAGGGGAGCAAAUGGGAUUAGAUACCCCUGUAGUCCCUGUCUCUUAUAC